UCGGUUUUUUGCCGUGUCACCGUGUGCAUAGAGCUGUUUGAGUGUCGUCACAAUAUGGCUGCUGGCUUCCCACCGGGAGUGAGCCAAGAGAGAGCAAGGAGGAAGCCACAGGGGCUUUUAUGACUUGGUCUCUGAAGUCACACAUCAUUUCACUUUAUUCAUUAGAGGCAAGUAACUGAGUCUGUUCAGCCCACACUGGAACAGAGGGUAGUAAACUCCACCUCUUGAAGAGAGGGUAUGAAUUUGUGGACAGAUUUUAAAACAACCAUGAACAUGUGAGGUCGUUUGCAGUCAUUAGUUAGUAGCGUUAUGCCGCGGGUCAAAUAAGCUAAUGCAGUUGAAGGCCCUGUGUAAACCAUAAAGCAAUAAAGGAAGCUGGUUAUUGCUGUCAUUACCACCACAACCGUUGUUAUUGUUGGAAAGAGCAGGAGAGAAUGGGGCCUCAGUGUUUAAUAGGUGCAGAGUUCAGUCUGGGAAGAUGAGAAGGUUCCGGAGAUGGAGAGUGGUGAUGCUUUGCACAAUAAUGUGAACGUCCUUUAUGCUUCUGAA